rnacentral:rRNA from 1 species
CCUACGGGAGGCAGCAGUAGGGAAUCUUCCACAAUGGACGAAAGUCUGAUGGAGCAACGCCGCGUGAGUGAAGAAGGGUUUCGGCUCGUAAAGCUCUGUUGGUAGUGAAGAAAGAUAGAGGUAGUAACUGGCCUUUAUUUGACGGUAAUUACUUAGAAAGUCCCGGCUAACUACGUGCCAGCGGCCUCGGUAAUACGUAGGUGGCAAGCGUUGUCCGGAUUUAUUGGGCGUAAAGCGAGUGCAGGCGGUUCAAUAAGUCUGAUGUGAAAGCCUUCGGCUCAACCGGAGAAUUGCAUCAGAAACUGUUGAACUUGAGUGCAGAAGAGGAGAGUGGAACUCCAUGUGUAGCGGUGGAAUGCGUAGAUAUAAGGAAGAACACCAGUGGCGAAGGCGGCUUUCUGGUCUGCAACUGACGCUGAGGCUCGAAAGCAUGGGUAGCGAACAGGAUUAGAUACCCGUGUAGUC